rnacentral:rRNA from 1 species
UACGAAGGGGGCUAGCGUUGUUCGGAAUCACUGGGCGUAAAGCGCACGCAGGCGGAUUGAUAAGUCAGGGGUGAAAUCCCGGAGCUCAACUUCGGAAUUGCCUUUGAUACUGUCUGCCUUGAGUCCGGGAGAGGUGAGUGGAAUUCCUAGUGUAGAGGUGAAAUUCGUAGAUAUUAGGAAGAACACCAGUGGCGAAGGCAGCACUCUGGGACGGUACUGACGCUGAGACGCGAAAGCGUGGGGAGCAAACAGG